UUUUAGAGUUUGAUCCUGGCUCAGAUUGAACGCUGGCGGCAGGCCUAACACAUGCAAGUCGAGCGGUAACAGGGGUAGCUUGCUACCCGCUGACGAGCGGCGGACGGGUGAGUAAUGCAUAGGAAUCUACCCGGUAGUGGGGGAUAACCUGGGGAAACCCAGGCUAAUACCGCAUACGUCCUACGGGAGAAAGGGGGCUCCGGCUCCCGCUAUCGGAUGAGCCUAUGUCGGAUUAGCUAGUUGGUGAGGUAAUGGCUCACCAAGGCAACGAUCCGUAGCUGGUCUGAGAGGAUGAUCAGCCACAUCGGGACUGAGACACGGCCCGAACUCCUACGGGAGGCAGCAGUGGGGAAUAUUGGACAAUGGGCGAAAGCCUGAUCCAGCCAUGCCGCGUGUGUGAAGAAGGCCUUCGGGUUGUAAAGCACUUUCAGCGAGGAAGAACGCCUAGUGGUUAAUACCCAUUAGGAAAGACAUCACUCGCAGAAGAAGCACCGCA
rnacentral:rRNA from 1 species